CUGCGAAGCAUCUGGUCCUUCAUAUCCCUGAGUCAUCAGCAUGAAGAUGCCUGGUUUCCGAAGUCCUCCCUCCUCCUACUGCUCUCUAGGGCUCCCUCUCCUGACUGCUUAGUUCUCCUGGGGGCCCAGACCUAAAUUUCGUGAGGGUAUGUCUUUCUCGGGGCCGGGUCACCAGUCUUGGAGGAAUGUCCUCAGUCCCCUUUGCCCCAGACACCACCAGAGAUGCGGCAACAGAACUCUGAGGCGCGCCCCGGCUUCCAAGUAGCUGGGGGCGGGGCCGCGCCUGGAGGUGAGCAGCAGGCGGUGGGCGGGGCCGCGCUCCGUCCGAGGUGAGAGCGAGGCCGGGUGCGAGGCCACACCCCGAGGUACGAGAGCUGAGGGCGUGGCCACACCCCAGCUCUGAGCGAGGCUGAGGGCGGAACCGCACCCCGAAGUGGGUGCAAGGCUGGGGGCGUGGCCGCGCGGUGAGGCAGCCAGGACCGUGAGGGAUGCGCCAGCCGCCUCCGCAGGCGGCGCGCGCAGCCGCCCGCAGGGCGUGAGGCAGAGCAGGGGUUAAGGCCGCCGGCGCCACCUGGGCGUCGCUGAGGAGACCCGCGAGCCGGCGAAUCCCGCGCGGGCGGGGCGAACAGGUGCCCGCGCGCGUCAGGCGCCGGCAAGGGGCGGGGCGAGGGGACGCGGCCGGAAGCCCGGGGCGGGGCGCUGCCGGCCCGGUGAGCCGGGAGGAGCCGGGGAAGGCAGGAAGGAGCUCGCCGGGUUGCGCGGCGCGCGAUGUGGAGCCGCCGCCUCGGCCCCUGCAGCAGCAGCAGCCGCCGUCGCCGCCGCUGCUGCUGGGGCUGCCGCGGAGCCGGGGGUCAUGGAGUGCGGCUGCAGAGAGCGGCCGCCGGCAACAGCAGCAGCAGCAGGAAGCGUCGCGGCGACAGCGGAGCGCAGCCCGCCCCGUGAGGCGCUGCCCGGCCGGCGGCGGCAGCAGCAGCAGCAGCGGCAGCGGCAACAGGGCGGCUGAGAACCCGGCGGCGGCGUUCCUCCUCGCUUCCUCCCCUCCCGCUUCGCCGACCCUCAGUCUCUGUUCCUGAGUCCUCCCUUCCCCAGCCUUCCCGUUCCCACCACCUACUCCGCCACUACCCCCACCCCCUCCUCCCGCGCGCGCCUGAGCAGCUGAGCCCGGGGGCGGGGGAGGGGGCGCGUGCCGCCGGCGCGGGGGAGGGGCGG
rnacentral:lncRNA from 10 species